UGGAGGGUGUAUUGGAGAUGUAUCCACAACAGGAUAUGCUGAGUCAGUGGAUGGGAAAUACAGAGUGGGAGGUAAACCAAGUCUGCAUUGUCUCUAAAUUGGGAGCCCAGUGGGAGCCGUGAUGUCAUAAAAUAGGAAGAAAGGCAAAGUCUGAGUAAAAAGGCCACUACUGUAGAUUUAAAUCCUGUCUGGUGUACUCAUUGUUCUGCAAUUCAGGUAAGGUAAUUCACUUUGCUGAGCCAUAGCUGCAUCAUCUACAAAAUGGAAAAAUAUUAUCUACUUCAUGGGAUCAUCAAGGUUAAGCAGGAGUAAACCAUAUGAAACCAUGUAGCUUACUGCCUGUACAGAGAAGUUGCUUGAUAAAUAUUUGUUGAAUGAAGAAAACUGUCAGAAAUAGAAUAAACAGCAGAGACUAGGGUUUAAAACUAGGCUUUGUUGUGUGACCUUGAGCAUGUUACCUAACCUCCUUCACAUGUGAAAUAGGGAAAAUUUAUCCUAUCUCACUGGCUAGUUGGGAGGAUUGAAUUGGAAACCCUAUGUAGUGCCUGAGAUGGCACAUAAUUAGGGUUAAAUAAAUGUGCAUUGAAUAAAAAUAUAAAUUAGCUCAACUGUGGUCAGUACAUCUUGUUUACAGAGGUAGAAAAUGACCUCAGUUUACUAAAUAUUACAUACACGCUCACAUACUCACAAAAGAGAACACUGAGUCUGUUUCACAUUAGAAUUUAAAAUUGUAAGAUACCAUUGUUUGAAAAGUUAACUUGCAUAGAAAAGUUUAUUUUUCAAUGUCAAGAAAAGUCACGCCUAUUUGUGUUGUAUAAAAAUUAGAAAAUACCUUCAUAUCGUCCCAUUAAAAAACAAAACAAAAUAGCUAAAUCUUUGUGCAGAGUAUAGAUGACCUGCAUAACUUUUGUUCUAUAGAAAGGAUACUGAGAAAACAAUUAUUUUUAAAUAACCCAAGUACAACCAGCAUUAUUACUUCAUUUUUUAUUUGUUUGAAUGCCUUUGAUGAUUUAUUUGGAUUCUGUUCCUGCUUGGAUAAAUACAUUUCACUUUGUGCAUUGUAGCUGUGACAGAUAAUGCUAGAUGAUCCUCAAUACACCUCAACUUUCUUCUAAUAGAGUAACUAACCUCUCCAACCUCUGACCUUCCUCCACCCCAUUUUUUAGAAACAUGACCUCCCAACUAUGGACUACAUUUCCCAGCAUCUCUAGAAGCUAGAUAAGUUCGUGUAAAACUUCCGGGCAAUAGAAGAGGAGUGAAAUCGAUAUCUUUAAUUUCUGGAUCAUCUCCUUAAACAUUUGUCCUGUACUCUCCCCUGUCCCUUCUUCUGUGGGCCAUAGGACAGAUGUGGUAGAGACCAAGGUUCUGUAACCCUGAAGAACAUGACAUCAGGGAAUGGUAAUGCAGCAUAAAGGAAGUCACUUGCGUCCUUUAAUGACCUAGAGGAGUCAGUCUACUUCACCACCUGGACCAGCGGGACUGUAAUGUGAGAAAUGCAUUUCUAUCUAUGCAUCCAUAACCUGAACCUAAGUGGGAAAAAGGAAGAGGAGGAAGAGGAAGAAGAAUGGGAAAACAAACAAACAAAAAACAACACCUAAAGGCAGGCAGGAGGUAGAAAUUGAACAGGAACAGGAAGAAAAGAAAGAAGAAACAGAAAAAAGUGAUAGAGAAAUAAUUCACUGAAUGGUACAGGUCACGUGUGACUCAUGUUAGGGAGAAGUACAGAGAGUCCCUAAAUUCCCCUCUUAUCUACACAGCGGACACUGAGGCUAUGCCUUAGGCUUGAGUCACAGGACUUUAAAACAUCUUUAAAACAUCUUCAUGAUUCAUCCAAUGGUUAUAUGUAGCUCACUAAAGGUUUUCUCAUCAAGGUUACCAAUGACCUCCCUUCAGGCAAAAGACAGUAACAUUUUAGUCAUCAACCUCUUUAACUUGACUUGCCAACACUAAACAUCGGUCAAGAUUCUACUCAUAACCCACGUCUUCCAUAAAAUUUCCCUUGAUCUUUGUUUCUAUUUUCUGAUUUCCUAUGACACUCUUAGGAAAUGUGGCUUUUCUUUCUGCCCCUCUAAAAGGAGGCCAGGGAGGCUGCUAAGCAUCCUAAAAUGCACAACACGACUCCCUACAACAAAGAAUUAUGAUAUUUUUAUACCCCUCCAGCACUUGGCACAGGGCUGGUGUGGAAUAGAGUCCUGUGGUGACUGACUACCUAUUACUCUGUUCAAUAAUACAGAUGGUCUCAUCUCCUUCAUUUUCUACCUAUUUAUCAUAUUUUACAAUGAUGAUUGAUAAUGAGAAUUAUGUCCCUGAGGCAUGCUAGGCCUAAAUCAUAAAAAAUAAACGGACAAAAUUCAUUCACUCUCUUGCUGGUUAAAAAGAAAAAAAAAAUUUACUAGUACAUUUUAGAAAGAUUUCCAACUGGGAGAGUUGAGGCCAGAAAGCAUUACUCAUUCAACCUAAUUUAACUCCAAGAUGCAAUUAACAGCAACUCCUCAAGUCCCAAAUAUUCACAGCAUCUGAAGAUUUACUUAUGACUGGGAGAGUUACAGGUCUGUCCUAAAAUAUACCUGAGGGUAUCAGCUUUCUGUUAUUUAUUUUCCAAUACAUGGCAACUCUUAGUAUAAAAGUAAGUUUAUUUUAAAAUUGAUUAUAUGUCCUGGCUUAAAAUCUCCCAAAGGACAUUCUGCAUUUGGGGGGCUGUUUCUAUGUUUCAAAGUGCUCAUUUGCAUCCAGGAUAAUUGAAAUUUAAGUCCAGCUCAACAAACAGUUCCACAAUAAGUGAUCGGAUAACCGCCCACAUGCAAACCAUUAUUAUGGGCACACAUAGCCGAAGAAUCCAGUCAAGGACGUAACAAGUGUCUGUGAGCAUGCCUAGGAUUUCACAUUUUAAUGUUUAUUAUUUUUUGUUUUUGAAGCAUAAAAAGACCUAAGGGACAUUGUGGCAUUCCCAUCAUGUAAGAGCAGUUUAUAAAAAACACAUUGCAAAUUAAGAAUCACAAACACACGGAGAAUGGAAGUAAGUUAAAUAAAACAAGUGAACUAAUUAACACACUUCCAAAACAGAAAACCAAGACUUAAAAUAUUGCACACCUUAGUGAAAUAGCAGCCGCUCUUAUUAAAGACCAUAUAUUCCAUUUAUAUAGUAUUUUGUAAUUUAUUGCCUUUCCCACCUUGGAAAAAUUAUGUUAGUUAUAUGGCCCCAUAUUAACAUUUUUUUGGCCUUUUAUAAGUAACAGUUUUGAAACUGGACAUUUAGCUAUCCAUUAAGUCAGUUGCUUGAGAAAAGCUUUCAUUUUUUUUUUUUUUUUCUGGCUCUUUAGAAUGCUUCAAAAGAAUGAUUCAGGGAAAUCAUAAAAGGAUUAAUUCAAAAUGAUGAACUGAUGAAAUUAUAAAAUGGAAAUGCACCCCUCCACACACACCCACUCUGUUAUCUAUGUCUCUAAAGCAUGGUGCCCUCACAUUAUUCAUAUAUGCCACAGAUUUCUAUUUUGAUGGCAUUAAUUAGUCCAGAAUAAUGACUGAGGUCAAAAGUCCUACACACCAUGAAAAGCCGGGUUUUAUGUAGAGAAAAGGGUACUUGAUGAGGCUAAUAUUACCAGGCUUCUUUUCUCCACUUUCCAAAGAGAAUCCAAUGGGUUGUAGCCUGUUUUCCUGUCUGUUAAUGAUAAAAUGCCUCGUAUUCUACUAGCACUUUCUGAAACUCAAACUUCACUGUCUUCCUGAGACGAGUCUGCCCUGAAGGGAAAAAUAGUUUUCUUCACCCAGCGCCUUUUUCCUUGUAUUAAUAUUAAUAUCCCAUGAGAAUAUUAGCUCUGGAGGAAAGAAUUUGGUGGCAAAAUUUCAUAUUUAUUCAUGAAAUCCACCCCCAACUUCCACUCACAGAUUUUAACAGGACAGUCAAAGGAAAAGCUCCCAUGCUUACCGCCCUCUCUUCAUGCUUCCCCUCAGCAUCUUAUGACACCCACUCUGGGUUAAUUUUCUGUUGAUUUUUUUUUUUUUUUUUUGAGUUCUUCCUGCCGAACCAAAAGCCACUUUUAGUAGCAGAGGCUCUUUUUUUAAAGAAUACUUUGUAUUUAUUAGGGCAGAAAAGUAUUUAAGUUAAAAAAAAAAUGACUUCCUUGGCCCUUGGCUGAGGGUGAAGACAGAAAAUGGUGUGCAUCCAGUCCUCUGGCUCUACCCCUGCCCGCCCGCCUAUUCUCCCCGUGCCUGGCCCUGCCUCAUGGAUUGCAAGAAAUGGCUCCAGGACAAGAAUCAUUGAGAUUAUGUCAGCUACCACUGAUGGCCUUCUGUGGAGACAGACCUUUGGCUAAUAAUUAGAAAAAUGAACUGCCAAUAUUAAAUUGGUGACUUACUUUGGUCUGACCUUCCCAGAUCCUACCUGGAUUCCAAACAUUUCCAAAUGGCUCUGCCCGCAAAUGGUGGGUAACUUGGGAAUUCACUCUCCUUCUGGCACCGGCAAAAGUCCUCCUUCUUAGACUGUGGACUUGUUCCAUCCAUUGGUAAACUUGUGGCAUCUUCCUUGAUUGAAGGUGAAUCUGGAGUAACUGUUCUUUUGGUAAAUGCUGGCAAGGUGAGAGAAAAGACAAAAAUAAACCCAGAUGAAGAGAACUCCCGGGCUGACAAAAUUCAGAGUGCCUAUAUGUUGCAGAAACUCAAGUUCUCGUUGAAUGUUGUAACUUAAACAAAAACAAGCACCCAUGUGCAGCAAUUAGAACGGAAGCUCCAGAGAGGCAGCGGGCUUCGUCUGUUUUGUUGACGGAUGUGAGGGGCACGCACCUACCUAGUAAGUUCCUGGCACAUAACGGACACUGAGUGAAUAUUUGUUGGAUGCAUGGAUAAAUACGAUGACUUUCCAAAGAGCCUGGGAAGUACUUAUUUGAUUGGUAAAUCAAGCAGAGGACACACUGUCGGAAUGUGCACAGAAUCAAGACGAGGUUGGUAAUUUCUCCUUUCUUCCAGCCAGAGGCUGGCAAACACUUUCUUUCGAGGGCCAGAUCAAACAGAGCGUAGGCUUUUGGAGCCAUUCACUCUCUGCCCUACCUACUCGACUCUUGCUGCUGAGUGUGAAGGCAGCCACGGAUGACACGUGAAUAAAUGCGUGGCUGAACCUCAAUAAAAUGUUACUGACAAAAGCAGUCAGCAGGCAGCACUCACCUCACGGGAGGUAGUGUGUUGACUCCUGCUCUACUAUAACUGGCGAGAACGAAGCUAUUCAAGAAGACAAAACAGGUAGCUAUUCCCUCCACGAGGACCACGCCUUGGGCAUCUUUCUGUGUCCUGCGACCUCACCUGGGUUAGGUCGUACAGGGCUUUGCAGGGUGGUGGCAGCUCAGUAUGUUUGUCGAAUUUUAAACUGAAUCUUACAAUAACUGAUUUCCUGGAACCACAGUUGUCAGGAGAACCAACAAAUUCAAGUCACUGCAAUGUGCCUUUUCUUUGAAGUCUCCUAGCAAAACAUGUGGGCAGUUAAUAGCUAUGGAAAUAAUAUCAAAUAAAACUAGGGCAGCACCUUCUCUCUUGAUAGAGGACCAAUGCCUCUUACUUGAAGCCUAGCCUUCAGGAUGUCAACAAUUAACCGGAGGUAACUCUUCUGAUUAUCUGUGAGGCUAAGAAACGAUGAACAAAUGUCUCACUGCCCAUCUGAGCUCCUGCUUCUUUUGAAACAUUUCCAGUGAAUUGUUUUCAUAAAGGGUAUAGAAGCAAAUCAUUGUUGGUAUCACAACUGGCCAAAAUGUGCUCCCACAUUUUCUUCCCCAAAAUAUGAUGUACUCAGGGGUGCUGAGUUAGAUUAUGCAUUAUUUCAGGCCAGACAUCUGUUACAAAUGGUGAGAGUCUACAUAUUCAUUACUGGAAUGGAUCAAUGUUUUCAAAAGUUUAAGUAAUAUUAAUGUAGAACAAAUGACAUCAUAAAAUGUGCUUUGCGGCCUUUUCUGAUACUCGCACUACCUAUUUGCAAAAUUUUCAACUUAUUUCUUAUUUUACUAAGUGUUGGCCUCCCUUACAAACCAGGCCUGAUUUCUUCUUCAGCUGCAAAUGUAAUUUUAAAGAGAAUUCCAACAAGGUUACUUGCUGAACACGUUAAACAUUCAUAGCUUUGCCAUAUGCUGUUAUGGAAAUUACACUGAUUUAAAGCAAUCUGGGUGUCACUAGGUAGUACUGAUUCACCUGAUACCAAAUCUAACCAUGGUGAGAAAUAAUGUUUUAAAGGUGUCAUUUGCAUCUAGACCUCUGUUGAACUAAGAGGCAUGUACUGGGUUUAUUUUUGGAGACAAUGGAUUUUCAUAUUAAAAAUAUGGUUCUACAUCUGGUGAUUUCUAGAAAAAUUAAGGUUAUAGGAGGCCCAAAUUUACACUAUGAUAGCAUAGCAGUCAAGGAUAUAGAUUCCUGAAGCCAGGCAGAUCUCAGUCUUAAUCCUGGCUCACCCAUUUAAUAGUUCUAUAACCUUCAAUGGUAAGAGAGGGCAAAUAAUAGACCUGCCAGGUUUGCUGCAAGGAUUAAAUGAGCUAAUGCAUGUAAAGCAUGUGACAGCUCUGAACAGAGCACCUUCAUGUGGUUGGCUCAACAAUGAGUCAGUAGCAUUAUGGGCUAUGGCCGCCUAACCUUUAUACUUCUGUUGGAAGGUUAACAGCAUCCCAUAUUAAGUGGUGGAGAAAUGCUUGAGUAUAUGAGGCCUGAUGGGGAUGUUGAAAGAUGAUUUAGUGAAAUUAAGAUCUGCUAUAUAAGACAAUAAGGUCACUGUUAUAGUCAAUAAUCCCCAACUAUAAAAAACCAAAGGGAAAAAGGCACAGUCGCAGGACACCCUUUGCACAGUUACAGCAUCAAUAAUGUGGCAUAACUGUUGUUUUUAUUUGGGAUGGGGAAAGCGGAGAGCUCAUUUUAAGCAUGCUAGGGAAAGACUUAUGGAAAUGAACACUGUCUUUAGAUCCACUGAGCAUUCUAUCCAAUUACAUUCAGAGGACAGAAGAAGCUUCUUAGAAAUAAUUACCUUUGGCUGUAAUAAGUGAAUAUAUAUGGUGUAAUGAAUAUUCAUACAUAUUGAAGUCUGUGAGAAUAUAAAAAAGAUAGAAGAACCUUUAAUUUUUGUUUGUUUGUUUGUUUCCCUAAAUUGACUUGGGCAUGUACAUUUGAAAAUAGAUGGAUUCUCUCUAGGUCAGUGUUCUGAAUGGGGGGACGGUUUUGCUCUCUAGGGGGUGUUUGGCAAGUGUCUAGAGACAUGUUUUGAUGCCACAACUUGCGAUAGAGGACGCCACUGGCAUCUGGUGAGUAGAACCUCGGGCUACUGCUAAAUGUUCUAUAAUGUGUAAGGUAGCCUUCACAACAAAGAAUUAUCUGGUCCAAAUGUUAAUCCCAAGGCUGAGAAAUGCUACUCUAAGCUAGUAACUGUUCAGGGCCUAACAGGUUUAAAAUCACCCACACCCCAGGUGGAUCUUGGGGAGACUCUAGAGGAUGGUAGGCUUUUUUGUCAAUUGGUCAACUUUCCAGUCUCCUGUGUUGAUUCCACACUACUGAACCAUAAGCUGAAGUCAUUGUAUGGAGUUCAUAUCCUCAGGAAAAGAAUGAUUAUAAACACCAAGAUUAGAGUUCACGAAGUACUAUGUGUUACUUGACCUUCUGGAGACAUCACAGAGGAGGGCUACCACCUAUGCAGAGCCUCUGACCGACCAAGAGACCAAGGGUCUCCUGGCAUAUGAUUUCUUAAACAACAUCAAUACCAAGAGACAAAAAACAUGUUAAGCAACAAUGGCAUAACAUUAAAGAUCAUUCCCAAGUAAAAAGUUAUAAGUACAAUCUCUGGAAAUUUUAUUUUCUAGUCCCCUGAAACUGGAGUAUCUUUUCUUUUACGUGAACCCUGCAGGGGCAGCUUAGAAGGCUGUAGCCACAAACAUGGAUAAUGCUCAAAGACUGAAAAUGUAUAUAAAGGACAUUACUUUGAAGCCUCUGACUCUGUACUUGGUGUCAUCAGAGCGCUGCAGAGACUCUCUGUGAACGCCGUAGUUCGAAUAUCUCCCAUCAAUUCUUUCAGAAAAACUGCGGGAAUCCUGAAAAAAACAACAAUGUCAAAACCAGCAGAUGAAAGGAAAGUCGGUAUUUGAAAUAAGAAAAAGAAAGUAUUGAUAGGUGUUUAGAAAGAUCUGGGGGAAACAGAGGUCACACCAAGGAGAAAGAAGGAAAGGGUUGCUUUGGAUGCUACCUUAAAAAUCAAAACAGGGUCCCACUUUGGUUAUGUGUAUUCUUUUCACAACUAGUGCUUUGUCAGUCUGAAAUGACUGACACUUUUAGUUGAAGGAAACAAGGUUCCAGUAAAAGUGAAUUGUCUAAAGAUGGUCAUUAAUGACACCAUGUCACUUUUGAAUGCUGCAUUCUCUCUUUUGGAGUAGUACCUGACAUCAGAAUAUUCUGUGUUAAAAAAAAAAAUGUUGGGGUGCCUGGGUGGCUCAGUCGGUAAAGCAACUAACUCUUGGUUUCAGCUCGGGUCAUGAUCUUAUGGUCAUGGGAUGGAGCCCCGUGUGGGACAGGCU